UACGUAGGGUGCAAGCGUUAAUCGGAAUUACUGGGCGUAAAGCGUGCGCAGGCGGCUUUGCAAGUCAGAUGUGAAAUCCCCGGGCUCAACCUGGGAACUGCAUCCGAAACUGCCUUGCUAGAGUAUGGGAGAGGGAAGUGGAAUUUCCGGUGUAGCGGUGAAAUGCGUAGAUAUCGGAAGGAACAUCAGUGGCGAAGGCGACUUCCUGGACCAAUACUGACGCUCAGGUGCGAAAGCGUGGGGAGCGAACAGG
rnacentral:rRNA from 1 species